AUACAGCGGCCCCCGUGCAGAAAAACGUGGAAAAGAAAGGCGGUAGGAAGGAGAUGCUUACUGUGGAAGUUGAGACGGAAAUCACCGAGAAGUACGAACAAGGCUGCCCAGUGCACUGAGGCCCGCCCAUCUUCAGUCACCAGAGAGUCACCUUGUGUGUGGACCCGUUCCUGUAACCCUUCGAGUACUGUGUAGUGACUGGCCAUUACCCCUGUAGCCUCAAGGUCAAGGAAAUGCCAGAUGGACUGAAUCAGCUUCACCAGCAGGAACUGGCAACGUGAAGUGACGGACAGAGAUGGGGUGACUCAAAGGACUUCUUGGAGCCUCUGCGUGAGGCCAUUCGACUGU
rnacentral:lncRNA from 1 species